CUUCCGUAGGGGGAACCUGCGGAGGGAUCAUUGCUGGAACGCGCUUCGGCGCACCCAGAAACCCUUUGUGAACUUAUACCUAUUGUUGCCUCGGCGCAGGCCGGCCUCUUCACUGAGGCCCCCUGGAGACAGGGAGCAGCCCGCCGGCGGCCAACCAAACUCUUGUUUCUACAGUGAAUCUCUGAGUAAAAAACAUAAAUGAAUCAAAACUUUCAACAACGGAUCUCUUGGUUCUGGCAUCGAUGAAGAACGCAGCGAAAUGCGAUAAGUAAUGUGAAUUGCAGAAUUCAGUGAAUCAUCGAAUCUUUGAACGCACAUUGCGCCCUCUGGUAUUCCGGAGGGCAUGCCUGUUCGAGCGUCAUUUCAACCCUCAAGCCUGGCUUGGUGAUGGGGCACUGCUCUCUGACGAGAGCAGGCCCUGAAAUCUAGUGGCGAGCUCGCUAGGACCCCGAGCGUAGUAGUUAUAUCUCGUUCUGGAAGGCCCUGGCGGUGCCCUGCCGUUAAACCCCCAACUUCUGAAAAUUUGACCUCGGAUCAGGUAGGAAUACCCGCUGAACUUAAGCAUAUCAAUGAGCGAGGAA
rnacentral:rRNA from 1 species